CACAUACAGCUGAAGUUAUUUGUGAGGAGUUGUAUGAAGCUUUGGUUGAAUGGAAUAUUGAUGAGAAGAUCUCUACGGUGACUCUUGAUAAUUGCACCACAAAUGAUGCGGAGUACCAAGUGGAAGAGGAUGAGGAUAACACAGAAUCAUCAGCUCCUCCACUUGACAAUUCGGGUUUAUUAUCUACAAUCAGUGCACGUGUUGCAAGUAGAAGACCAACAAUCACAAGAGUCAAAUCUGAACUAGAUAGGUACUUGGAGGAUGAGUUGGUUCCAAUUGCAACAGAGAACUUUAAGAUUCUAGAUUGGUGGAAGGUGGCUGGGACACGUUAUCCUACAUUGAGGAAGAUAGCACGUGACAUAUUUGCUAUUCCAGUCAGCACUGUUACAUCCGAAUCUGCAUUUAGCACUAGUGGGAGGGUUCUUAGUGAGCACCGUAGCCGGCUCACUCCGGAGAUCUUGGAGGCCCUAAUGUGUUCACAAGAUUGGAUACGCAACAAGUACAAAGGUAUAUAUGUUGUACAACUCCUAUUCAUUCAAUUUUCAAUGUCAUGGUUGCAAUGUAAUUGUUGUCAUCUUGUGAUUGUGUUUUGUAGAUGAUGAUAAUAAUGAUAAGCCUGAAACCUUUUGGAGUUGCCUUCAAGAGAUCCUAGAAAAGAUGGAGGGACUUGCACUUUGUUGAGAGCCUCAGGAGGACAAGAAGUCAAGAAUGCAUGUGCUUUUGUGCUUUUGUUGCCUUGUUUCUUCCUAGCUGUUCUGAGGAUAAGAAGUCAAGACUCA